AUCGAGCUCCUUUUCAUUUGACCUGGAGGAAGCAGACUUCCUGGCCCGUGACAGGGCUGAAUCCCAGGAUGUUCAGGGCAAGAGGACAGGGAUGGCUGAUGAAGCCCCAAAUCCUUUCCUAGCUUUCAGGGCGUGAUUCUGCCAAACUCUGGAAACACCUGAAGCGUUUUUGAAAUGACCCUGCCUCCACCUUAUGAACAAAAAAGCCGUUCCUGACCUGAAGCCUUGAAAAGUCUGGUGCCACUAGGCAUCACAGUGGGGCAAAUACCAGCGCCCUGGCCCCUGGAAUCCUCCUCACUCUGAUGCCAGCCAGCCACUUCCUUGCAAUGUCCUAGGGCAAACCCUCCCAUAUUUUUAAGAGUAUGGCUGCAGGGUUACCUGCUUGCAAGUGACCUGAAGACACCACCCCACAAGUGGCUAGAAAAGGACAUAGAUUGCCAUGUGUCACUUUAUAAUGAGAAGCCAGGACUCCAAAUUAAGUAGAAAUGCCCAAAUCUCUUCCUAGAGGAUAUGGAGAGGAUAUGAAUGGCUGCCAUUUCCACCCCAGAUGUGAACAAUCGCUGCGAAACUUCAAG